rnacentral:lncRNA from 1 species
UUGACUUCCAUUCCUUCCACAGGUCGAUCUCUCUAUGCAAAUAUUCUCCUUUCCUUUCCUUCUCUUCAUCUUCUUUUCCUUCAUGGAACCCCAAAAUCUACAUAUUAUUCCCUUGAAAACUCAUUUGGUUGAGUGGGUAAUCAAAACUUGCAGCAUCUUCUUUUUUGUUAUAUUUAAUUAUUUCCUCAUUUUUAUUUGGCAUUCGAUGGGCAAAUCCUAGCAACCAUCAGUGUGGCAUUUGAACCAAGUGGUCUUGAGAAAUAUCUCAUAAUAGCAUCACAUGUAUAUUGGGUUAUUCCUUUUAAUGGGAAUUUAUGUCCCCAAUUUUCUGUCAGUGAAGAACAGUUUUGCUGUGAUAUUAAGGGAGAUGCAUUUUAUAUUGGAAGUUCCUGUGGGUGAAUAUUUCUGCUAUCCCUUUUGGAGCAAUUAAG